rnacentral:lncRNA from 1 species
AUUUUCUGAGUCUAUAACUUUAUUUUUUCAUUCUCAUUAGGCAUCAUUAAAGGACGCCCCCAUUAUGUUUAUUAAAGUUAAGUUCUAAAACAAAAUGAGAAAAACAAGUGGCAGUGGAAUCUGAAGUCCUGCAUCUGGUCCAUGUUGAGCAAAUUUGAAGACCCAGCUUGGGGCCAAAGUUCAUUAAUACUGGAGAUGUGUUGCAGAAAAUCUCCUUCCUUUUCCCUGGUUCCUAACUGGAGGAUCAAAAAGCAUUGCAACUAGCAAGCAUUGCAACUAGCAAGCAUUGCAACUCCACAAGCUAAAGCCUCCUCAUAGCCACAGAAUCAUUGCUUCUAAAGACACAGUUUAAUUGAAAUGUUCAUUUCAAACUUCUACUCCUUGAAUGUGUUGAAUUUCCUUAACUCAGAAAUUUAUAUAUAUACCAGGCCGAUGAAAUAGGAAAGAAAGCAACACAAAUUUAGUUAGCAUGGAAAAGAAGGAAGGGAGGGAGGAAGGAUUAUCAUUUGGCUUAUUUUGAGUAAAAUAAUGCAUUGGUGAAAAACUCCUAUCUACAUGUAUAUAGCAGCACAAUUCACACUAGCUUAAUUAUAGAACCAGCCUGCGUGUACUUCAACAGAUGAAAGGAUAAAGAAAAUAUGGUAUGUAUGCAUAAUGGAGUUUUAUCCAGCCAGAAAGAAUGAUAUUGUACAUUUGCAGGAAAAUGGAUGGCACAUGAGAGCAUUAUGUUAAGUGCAAUAAGCCAAACUCAGAAGGUUAAAGGGCGCAUGUUUUCUCCUAUAUGUGGAAGCCAGACAGGAAAAAGAAAAGGAAAAAAAAAUGAGGUGAUCUAAUAAAAAUAGAAGGGAGACCAGUAAGAGUAGAGGAAGGUGGCAAUAGGGAGGAAGAGGAGAGGGAAAGGGGAGGUCCUGGAAAAUAAAAUUAAGCAAAUUAUAUCAUGUGCAUGUAAAAAUAUGUAACAAUGAAUCCCACUAUUAUAU